GGACACCCAUGUGGACACCCGCCCUGUAGGCAUCCCCUCAUCAUAGACUUGGCUGCUUUCCCGUCACAUGCACAGAGCAGUGCUCACACUCACUUGGCAGACUGCAGCUGUGGCCCCAGGUAGACUACAGCCACCUGGUGCUAGGUGCCUUUGGGCACCUGAGUGGCUCAGGAGGCCUCUGGGUGCUCUGGGCCUUUGGGUAGCCCAGCGGGUCAUGGCUUCUUCUUUGGCCAACCUGGCCUGGCCAAGAUGACAGGAACUCAUCCGGGUAACUGGCCAUUCGUUCUCCAUGCCCGUUCCUCCGUCAUUGAGCCGGCCACGGGGAGCAUCUUGCACCAGGCCCACCGGGACCCUGACUGAACUCUCUCCUUGUUUUUGUCUCCCGCCCUGCCAGAAGGUGAUGCUUUCGUCGGGAGCUGCCUUCCAGUGGUUUCACUGAUUUCAGUGACGGCCGGGAACCCAAAGCUGCCCUCUCCGUCGUGCAAUGUCACAGCCUGCGUGGUCUCCGGCAAGGGAUUCGGGCGAAGACAAACGGAUGCACCCGUCUUUAGAACCAAAAAUAUUCUCUCACAGAUUUCAUUCAUAUAUAUAUAUAUAUAUGCAUAUAUAUUCAUAUAUAUAUAUAUAGUUGUCGUUUUAACAUCUCCACGUCCCUAGUAUAAAAAGAAAAAGAAAAAAA
rnacentral:lncRNA from 1 species